GAUGGCUCAGUUGGUCAGAGCGUGGUGCUGAUAACACCAACGUCGUAGGUUCAAUCCGUAUACGGGAUGGCU